rnacentral:lncRNA from 1 species
CAAAGUCCCUAUCUCCCAUAUAGGUUCAAAGCUCCAUGUUUUCUGCCAUAACACAGUAGUAUUCUUGUGCAUUAGUGUAAAAUACUGAAGUGUUUUUAAACGUUCCACAGGUAGAAUGGGAAAAUACAGUUUUCUGCUCUCUGUGAAAAGAGCACAUGUUCAGAAAGAACCUGACUUUUGCUCUGGCCUGGAUGUAUAGAAGUAGUUUUGUAUUCAAGAAUCAGCUGUUGAAGCCUACAAGUUAUGCAGGUCCAGUGAAUUCAGUGGAGAUCCUUCUGACUGACAGCAGCAUCCAGGCACCUACUGACACAGAAUCCUAG